rnacentral:rRNA from 1 species
UACGUAGGGUGCAAGCGUUAAUCGGAAUUACUGGGCGUAAAGCGUGCGCAGGCGGUGAUGUAAGACAGAUGUGAAAGCCCCGGGCUCAACCUGGGAACUGCAUUUGGGACUGAUGAGCUAGAGUUCGGGAGAGGUGGGUGGAAUUCCCAGUGUAGAGGUGAAAUUCGUAGAUAUCGGGAGGAACACCAGUGGCGCAAGCGGCUGACUGGCCGAGACCUGACGCUGAGACGCGACGGCGUGGGGAGCAAACCGG